rnacentral:rRNA from 1 species
AGCGCGGGAAGCAGACAGAAUCCUUCGGGAGGACGUCUGUGGAACGAGCGGCGGACGGGUGAGUAACACGUGGGCAACCUGCCUGUAAGACUGGGAUAACUCCGGGAAACCGGGGCUAAUACCGGAUAACUCAUCGAAUCGCAUGAUUCGAUGUUGAAAGGUGGCAUAUGCUAUCACUUACAGAUGGGCCCGCGGCGCAUUAGCUAGUUGGUGGGGUAACAGCCUACCAAGGCCACGAUGCGUAGCCGACCUGAGAGGGUGAUCGGCCACACUGGGACUGAGACACGGCCCAGACUCCUACGGGAGGCAGCAGUAGGGAAUCAUCCGCAAUGGACGAAAGUCUGACGGUGCAACGCCGCGUGAGUGAGGAAGGUCUUCGGAUCGUAAAGCUCUGUUGUUAGAGAAGAACAAGUGCUGUUCGAAUAGGUCAGCACCUUGACGGUACCUAACCAGAAAGCCACGGCUAACUACGUGCCAGCAGCCGCGGUAAUACGUAGGUGGCAAGCGUUGUCCGGAAUUAUUGGGCGUAAAGCGCGCGCAGGCGGUUCCUUAAGUCUGAUGUGAAAGCCCACGGCUCAACCGUGGAGGGUCAUUGGAAACUGGGGGACUUGAGUACAGAAGAGGAGAGCGGAAUUCCACGUGUAGCGGUGAAAUGCGUAGAUAUGUGGAGGAACACCAGUGGCGAAGGCGG